UACGUAGGGGCCGAGCGUUGUCCGGAGUUACUGGGCGUAAAGCGCGCGCAGGCGGCUCGCUUUGCCCGGCGUGAAAGCCCCCGGCUCAACCGGGGAGGGUCGUCGGGGACGGGCGAGCUUGAGGCCGGCAGGGGCAGGUGGAAUUCCCGGUGUAGUGGUGAAAUGCGUAGAGAUCGGGAGGAACACCUGUGGCGAAGGCGGCCUGCUGGGCCGGACCUGACGCUGAGGCGCGAAGGCGUGGGGAGCGAACGGG
rnacentral:rRNA from 1 species